UACGUAGGUGACCAGCGUUGUCCGGAUUUACUGGGCGUAAAGAGCGCGCAGGCGGUCGUUCAAGUCGAGUGUGAAAGCCCCCGGCUCAACUGGGGAGGGUCACUCGAUACUGAUCGACUUGAAGGCAGGAGAGGGAAGCGGAAUUCCCGGUGUAGUGGUGAAAUGCGUAGAUAUCGGGAGGAACACCAGUGGCGAAGGCGGCUUCCUGGCCUGUUCUUGACGCUGAGGCGCGAAAGCUAGGGGGAGCAAACGGG
rnacentral:rRNA from 1 species